rnacentral:rRNA from 1 species
AUUGAACGCUGGCGGCAUGCCUUACACAUGCAAGUCGAACGGUAACGGGCCUUCGGGUGCCGACGAGUGGCGCACGGGUGCGUAAUACAUCGGAACGUGCCCGCUCGUGGGGGAUAACGAGGCGAAAGCUUUGCUAAUACCGCAUACGAUCUACGGAUGAAAGCAGGGGACCGCAAGGCCUUGCGCGGACGGAGCGGCCGAUGGCAGAUUAGGUAGUUGGUGGGAUAAAAGCUUACCAAGCCGACGAUCUGUAGCUGGUCUGAGAGGAUGAUCAGCCACACUGGGACUGAGACACGGCCCAGACUCCUACGGGAGGCAGCAGUGGGGAAUUUUGGACAAUGGGCGCAAGCCUGAUCCAGCCAUGCCGCGUGCAGGAUGAAGGCCUUCGGGUUGUAAACUGCUUUUGUACGGAACGAAAAGCCUUCUUUUAAUACAGGAGGGUCAUGACGGUACCGUAAGAAUAAGCACCGGCUAACUACGUG